CCUACGGGUGGCAGCAGUGGGGAAUAUUGGACAAUGGGCGUACGCCUGAUGCAGCGAAGUCGCGUGCGGGAUGGAGGCCCUCGGGUUGUAAACCGCUUUUGUUCAAGGGCAAGGCACGGUCUUUGGCCGCGUUGAGUGGAUUGUUCGAAUAAGAACCGGCUAACUACGUGCUAGCAGCCGCGGCAAUACGGCGGGUGCAAGCGUUAUCCGGAUUUAUUGGGGGUAAGGGGGUCGGAGGCGGUUCUGCGCGUCCGGUGUGAAAGUCUCUCGCUUAACGGUGGCUCCGCGCCGGGUACGGGCGUGCUUGAGUGCGCGAGGAGAGACUGGAAUGCCCGGUGUAGCGGUGGAAUGUGUAGAUAUCGGGAAGAACACCGAUGGCGAAGGCAGGUCUCCGGGGCGUUACUGACGCUGAGGAGCGAAAGCGUGGGGAGCGAACAGGAUUAGAUACCCUAGUAGUC
rnacentral:rRNA from 1 species